rnacentral:lncRNA from 1 species
AGGGAUUUCAGAGAACCCUGAGGCAUCCAGACUAUGAAUGCAGAAAUCCUCUUUACAACAUCCCUGACAGCUUCUGCUUGGACACCUCUAGCAAUAGAGAACUCAUUAACUUGACAUGGACACAACUGAAAGCUUCUAAUGGUUGGAAAGUUCUUCCUUAUGUUGAAUCCCAAUCUCUCCCUUUAGCUUGUACCCAUGGGUUCUAGUUCUGUCUUGCAGUGCCUACACAGGCCAAGUCUGUUUCUUCUUCCCAGUGACAAACUAUCAUAGAUUUUUAGAUGACUUUCAAGGCUCAUUCUCAGUCUUGUCUUUUCCAAGUUAAACAUUCUUGGAAAUAUUCCCAUCAUCUAAGCACAACAUGUGACAAUACUUACCACUUUGAGCUCUUGACCUUUCUAAAAGUUACUUAUAGAACAAUGGAAAGUGUAUUAGACUUGGAGCAAAAGGAUGAGUUGAUGACUGCUGUGCCAUAGGACCUAGGAUCAGUUAUUUCAGCUCUCUGAGUCACAGUCCUUAUCAACUUGAAAAAAUGGAAAUGGAAGUGACCUCACUUGACAGAACUGAAGUGAGGGUCAUGUCAGAAUAUAUGUGAGAGGAAACAUGGCCUGGUGGCAAGGGCACAGACAUUCAUAUUAAAGACUGCAGGCCUCAAAUCUAGUCUCAUUUUUUCAUCAUAAGCCAGUCACUUGUCAUCUCAGAGUUGUUAAUACAUUUUUUAAAUCGAAGUAAUAUCCAGGCCCAUGCAUAAUAUUUGGGGGCUCAGGGCAAAAACUAAAAUGGAAGCCCAUGUACUGUAUGUCUAUGAUUUAUUUAGUCCAGCUACUCAAAAUUUAUAGCUAAUUCACUUUUAAAUAAAAUUAUAUCCUCCCACUUUGGCAAAUAUAGCUUCAUUGCAACAUGAAAGUCCAGAUUGAAAUUUAAAAUUCUCAGACUCCUCAGAGUUCCUUGCUAGAAUGUAGUCACAUGCGAGAGGUUGGUGCCAGGGAAGUGCUCCCUCUCCUGGCCUGCAGUCUCUCCUCUCUCCACCCCCAGUUCUGGCAUGCCUCAUGAAGAGCUUUGUGCACAUGGACCUGCCUCCCAAAGCUUGUAUGUCCAAACAUCACUUAAGCCCGGUCAAACAGUCACCCCUAGGUCACAUCUUCAGAUGAAGGGUGUGCCAACCAGCAACACAGGCUGCCUUGAAGGAAUGGACCUGAGGAAGAAGUUUACAUAGGCCCUGUAAGUGGGAUCAGGUCUGCUUGGAAAGGCAAUUCAGAGCUUCAGUGUUCCAUGGUAUAGUCUAGAAGGAGAUUAUAAAUUGUUCAGGACAGAGAUUUUUCACCUACAAGCUCCUAGCACUAUGGGGAGAGGCAUGGCUAGAGAAAAGCCAGAAAGAAGCCCUCUAAAACUUGGGGGUCCAGGGCAAAGGAGACUGCUUUUGCAAAUAUUUAAAGAUGGUACCAGUGAUACCUACUUUUCAAAACUAUUAUAAGGAUUAACAGACAACAUAUGAAAGGGAUGUGCCCAGAACAUGUAACAAUGUUAAAUUAUAUAAAUGUUGUUGCUGCUGUUAUUAUUAUUAUUAUUAUUAGAAUAUGCUUGGAAAACCAUUAAGUGCUACAGGAACAUGGGUAGUAUUUGGUAAUGCUGACUCCUUUGAGCCUUAUAAGACCUUUUCAUUGAUUACUAUAUCAAGGAGAGUCCACAUUUGUCAUGAAUGUGAGUUUGAAGAAGCUCUUCUGGGCUUAUGUGUUUUAAAAUCAAGACCAGCCAUAUUGGGGGUAUCCCUGAGGGGUCUGAGGUCUUAUAUCACUAUUUCUACUUUCUGGCUCCAAGUCUUUUUUUGCUAAAUGAAGCCUUCUCACAGCUCAGCAAAUGUUUCCACCAUGCUUUUACCAUCUCAGAUCACUAAUAGAUGAUUUAACAAUCAAAAUGAAUUGUCUUGCUUGAAUAUAAUGCAAGUACAGGUGACUCAGCAGACACCACUACAUCACUUGUCUUGACUCCACCUCACUGCCCUUGGUCAUCUCAACCCCAAGAGAACAGCACUUGCCUCUUGUCCCUUUGUCCUUGCUUUUGCCUUCCUCUUCAGGGUAUAUCUCCCUUUCACUGUUGCCCUUACCUGUGCCCCAGGCAACAACAGCCCCAUGACCAUCUUCGGCCCAGAGAAUUCUGAGAUACUGUCACCUCACAGAUGGGCGGAUAUACUUUUCACCUGGAAGAUGGUUGUGACAAUGCCUUUUUAGGACUAUCAAGAAAUCGUAGAAUCACAGAAUCUCAGAGCUUGCAAAAGACAGAAUCUUUUUCUUCAAUUUUCCAUUCAGAGAAGAAUCUUAUCCAUAUCCCUGAGAGAUUGUCAUUCAACUUUUGCUUCUGUCUGGAUAGCUCUGAAGAUAGGGAAACUGGGACUCAAAAAGGCAGCCUGUUUCAUUGUUAGGCACCUUGAGUUUUCAGAAAAUUGUUUUCUCACCAUCUUUUAACCAACGUUUAUCAGUGUAUCAUGUACCCAGCACUGGGCUGGGGCCCAAGAUGCAAUGAUGAGUAAGAUCAUCCUUAUCCUCAAUGAACUCUUUAUGUUGAACCAAAAUGCCGAUUAAUAGAGUGGUUAAGUUAGUGAGUUCUGGAGUCAAAUUUCCCAGGCUUGAAUUCCGCCAAAAAUACAAAAUUUCAGCUGUAAGAUGGAUAAAGCGUGAGGAGCUAAUAAUGUAAAACACAGCGACUACAGUUGAUCACACUGCGUUGUAUAAUUGAAAUUAGCUAAGAGAGAAGAACUUAAAUGUUCUCAUACACACACAAAAAAUAGAUAAAUAUGUGAGGUGAUGGGUAUGUUAACUAACUAGAUGGGAGGAAUCCUUUCCCAAUGUAUACGUAUAUCAAAUCAUCACAAAGUACAUUUUAAAUAUCUUACCAUUUGAUUUGUCAAUUAUACCUCAAUAAAGCUGAAAAAAAAUUUA